GUAUGUUUUUGCUCAGUGGUAGAGUGCAUGCCUAGUAUGCAAGAGGUCUUGGGUUCAAUCCCCAGUACCUCCA
rnacentral:tRNA from 1 species